UUAAUAGUUAUAUUUUGACAGGAAGAAAUUUUUGUUUGUUUUUUCCAGCCUGAAGAACUACCUCCUCUCUCUGAAGAGCAGCUUGUGACUCUUCUGGAAGAAUGUAUGCAGUUCUCAAGAACAAUAAGCAAUGUUACCAUGCCAGAAUUACAGGAAUCUCUUUCUGAUGGAAUAAAUCCCUCUUGUUACACAACUCAAGACUCCAUCCUAGUCUCCAGGUCUACUCUAUCCAAACUGUUAGAUGAAGGCCAUAGUGUGGGGAUGUUAACAGCUCAGGAAAAGGCUGGUAUCGAAGAUAAAAGUAUAUGUGAAAGUGCAGAGGGUGAAACCUGUGGCUACUAUCUCAGUAAAGCUUUGGCCAUUAGUCAUUUAUCAAAUGAUUCUGUGGCCCAAACAGAAGAACCUGAUGACCUAGAAAGUUCACGGGAGAUGGAGAAUAAGAAUAAUACUGAAGAUUACUUUACGUCAAGAGCACUCAGUGCAGAAAGAUUGAAAAAACCCUCUUUCUUGGAUGAACUAUUUUAUUGCGUCAGCAUGAACAAUGAGCUAUCCACAGAAGCUGACAUUCCCAGCAUACCAUUGCAGACCAGAGGAGAUGAUCUGAAGAUUGAAGAUGUGGCACCAGAGUAAUAUACAUACUCCAACUUACAGUCAUUUUUAUAAAACAUUGGUAAACUACACUUCAGUGUUUUUCAUUAACAUAUGAUCAUUUCAGAUUCUGAAUGCAGUGAAAUCGUCAUGCAUAUAUACACUGCGUACCAUAAUUAUUACUGUGAAAUAGUUUCUUCUUACAGAGAAAGUUAUUAUUGUCACACAUUGCAGUUUGAGUUCUAAAGGGAAAAUAUUCCUUUUAAUUGAGUUUCUGGUGAAUAUUUUACAUAAUAUUGUUCAGUGUUUUACCAGCAAUGUACAUUUUUUCAACAUAUAGUAGUAGACAUAAUCACAAAGUUGUAUUGAAUUCAGUAAAAUUGAGUAUGAACUUUGUAAAAAUAUGACAUGUCAAUUCUAAUAAUCGAUUUUUUUCUGUUUUUGCAUACAUUUAACUGUUUUGAAGAAAAAUGGCUAAAAUCUGACCGCAUCUGUUCCUAUCUGCAGUGGAGUUGUUUGUGGUACGGACGGGAUUCUGUAAAGUGGUGAGGGCUCUGUCCCUGAUUCAACAAAGUGCAUAAUCAUUUGCUUAUUUUUAAACAAACAAUAAUUGACAUCACUAGGACUACUCCUAUGCAUAUAGUUAAGUAUGUGCAUAAGUACUUUGCUGGAUUAGAGCUAGAGUGCUCAUCACUUUGCAGGAUUAAGCAAUAGGUGAAGAUAAGAAUUUAAUCAUGUGGCGAGUAGCCUUGGGUUCCCGUUGAGGUACAUAACUAAUUUGCAUAGAGAGUCAGUCUCUGUAAUCCGUUCUUAGGGUCUGCUUCUCAGUUGCACUAAAGCUCCUCUACACCAAUUUAACAGUAUAGAGAAGCCUAAUAGUGUAACUGAAAGUCAGAUCCACAGUCCUUAAUGGGAGUUUUGUCUUAACAAGAACUGAAGACAGAAUUUAGAAGUUGGACGUAACAGAAGGUAGGCAGGACCUGGAAUGAUAAUAACGGAAUCUGAAACCUUCUGGUAAUGCCCAGCAGUAGGGUGGAAAACAGCAGCUGUUUUAUGUUUGAGAUAACGGUAUUAAAAAUUUACCUUGUCCACACUCCCUCCCUCGCCACUCCGUCCCUUGAAUUUUUGGUUUCUUAAAGAGGCAAUCUUCUUUUCACUAUUAUGUGAGAAUGAAAGAACUUUUUUAAGUGAUUUUUUUAAAGAUUCUGAGGGAAAAAAAUGGUCGUUCUAACAAAGAUAAUUUGGUGGUUACAUCAAAGAAAUCUAUUAAUUUAAUGUGACCUCCACAUAUAUCACAUUGACAAAUGUUCAGUUAACACAAGCUAAAAGCAUAAAUUUUCUUUUAGAAUAUCAUGCUGGCUUCCACCAUUCAUUGAGAAGAAACUUCUGGUUGUACUGAUACAAAGUCAGUAAUGGCAAAGGUCAUACAUGAUCUAAUCUGAACUCAAAGUAAUAAACAUAUUGAAAGUCUAAUCUGUGUUACCA
ensembl:lncRNA